AGCUUUACGAAGUGGCAGUAUUGUAGUCCAUGAGGUUUAUCUGAGGCGCAAUUAUUGCUAAUUGAAAACUUUUCCCAAUACCCCGCCAUGACGACUUGAAAUAAAGUCGGCAUUGGCAAUUUUUGACAGUCUCUACUGAGA
rnacentral:snRNA from 1 species